GCCGAUGUAGCUCAACGGUAGAGCAAUUGAUUUGUAAUCAAUAGGUUGGGGGUUCGAUUCCCUUCAUCGGCUCCA
rnacentral:tRNA from 1 species